AAUGGUACUCCUCCGAGAAAACCGGAGCCGAGCAGCGCGGAGGCGCGAUUCGGGGAAGCGUCGCUUAGGUUGGGAUAGACCUUUGGGGGCUUCC
rnacentral:sRNA from 1 species